AUCCUUUUAGCUGUAAUAGCGUUACGGUUUCGGCCCGUAGAGAACAGAUGAAUUUCUGUGAAGGUUA
rnacentral:tRNA from 1 species